UUGCAGUUUCAAGUUUGUUAUUGUUAUUUGUUUGAUAAUUUCAUUUAUUUUGAUUUAAUUUAUUGAAAACGUUCGUCCAUAUUGAAUUGCGAUACAAAAACUUCUUAAGUUAGUCUAAAAUAAACUAUUAUUUAAGUACCUUCAUAAUUCUAUUUACACUCAUUGAAUUUUGGGAAAAUGCAUAUUCUAUGCACAAUCUGCAGUGACCUGGUGAACCAGGCAGAGAACAUACGUGUGACAAAGUGCGGACAUGUAUUCCACUUUCACUGCUUAUCACAAUGGAUAGAGAGAUCAAAGUCAUGUCCGCAAUGCCGGAACAAAGUGACAGAUAAAUGUAUGUUCCGGCUGUACCCCACCAUCUCCAAUGAGCCUUCCGGAGACGAUGUAGCCACGCUGCAGUCGCGCCAUGAUGACGCGCUGCUGCAGCUGCGACAGCUGAAAGCAAGCUGCAAAGAGUACACAGACAAGAUAGCCAGCACUGAAGCCGAAAUGAAGAAGAAUAUGGGACUGUUAAAAGCGUGUGAAAAUAAGCUGGAGAGCCGAGACUCAACCAUCGCAGCGAUGAAGGAGCAGCUGCAGUACUUGAAGGAACAGAAUAGAGAAACACAGAGAAUUAAAGAAGAAAACGAGAGUCUAAAGAAGAACAUACAAACUUUGAAUGGUCUGCAGAAGGUGCUAAACGCCACAAGUGAGGAAGUGGAACAGAUGCUAGAAGGGUACUCAGAUGUCAGGACGGUGGCAACUUUCGCCACCGCACUCAAACGUGCGCUGUGUGAGUCUGAGAGCAAAAAGAACGACACAAGAGAUCGACUACAAGUCGUUAAACAAAAAUUAGCAGCCGAAAAAAACAUCGUAGCAGACCUGCAGGCCAAACUUGCGUUUGCCGAAGAGAGACUAACUGCGAAGAUCCGCAAAAUCAAAAGCCUGAGACAGAAGCGCAAGUCCGAUGUAUUGCAGGAAUCGGUUGAGGAGUCUCCCUCAUCAUCAGAGGCUAAGAAGAUGAAGCCAGACUUGGAUGUGGCCAUACACCUUUCAGACAGCUGUGAUACUAGCAUUAACUCAAUGGUGACUAAGAUAGAGAACGCGGACUCUCCAUACUUGCGCUUACAGCAAAGCAGCCUGGCUCUAUCCGCGCUGAGUCUCGUGCGACCCUCGAACCCCGCCAAACCCUUGUCGGACAAAACCCUGAAGCCGUCGGAAUACGCACUCCUCAACUCAGCAAGAAACUCCAUAAAGAAACAGGAAACGAACCAAAGUUCUAAAACGAGCAUUUUCCAAAAAAAGGAGCCCACAAAAAUGACCCUCUCUCAAGAAAACGACCAGAAUCUGUCCUUGAUGAACAUUUCAUACGACGGGUUGGGGGGACACUCCAAACUGGAGACCUUUCCCGUGCCCAAUCCGAGGCCCAAUUUCAAAAGCUGUUUACCAAAGUUGUCCGCGAAGCACAAGUUGAAGCGACCCAACCCUGUCGGGAGCCAGGAUAUAGGGAAAAUGUUGGACAAGAUUAGAGAAAAGGAGACAAGUUGAGAAAUGUCGUCAUAACAGUGAAAAUUAAUGUUUGUGUUCGUCUUCUAUGCGGCCGCGCGGUGAUACUUUGUACAAUUGCUGUAGGCACUUGCCUUAAGGAUUUGACACAUGAAACUCUGUACAGUUGUUGGAACUUACGUUAAGGUUGCUGACAUGUGACAACACUUUGUACAAUUGCUGUUGGCACUUGCCUUAAGGCUUUGAUAUAUGAAACUUUGUACAGUUGCUGUUGGAACUUGCCUUAAGGCUUGCGACAUAUGAAACUGUACAGUUAUUGGAACUUACGUUAAGGUUGCUGACAUGUGACAACACUUUGUACAAUUGCUGUUGGCACUUGCCUUAAGGCUUUGAUAUAUGAAACUUUGUACAGUUGCUGUUGGAACUUGCCUUAAGGCUUGCGACAUAUGAAACUGUACAGUUGUUGGCACUUGCGUUAAGGUUUCUGAUAUAUGUUUUCAAAAAAACAUUCGGAAUUCAAUUCGAAAACAUAGUUUCUUUUGUGAUUGGUCGGUAACUCAAAAUGGUUGACGCCCACUGAAAUUUACAUCAGUAUAUAUACAUAAUUUGGUUAUUUUACCUGCCGUGCAGUUAAUAUUGUUUAUUUUAAGUUGUUAGGUAAUUAACUAAUAUAAUUUAAUAAUAUAUAAUAAUUAAUAUUCCUGUUAGUUAUAUAAUAAUAUAAUUUAUCAAACCACCGACUGAUUUGUUAAUCAAUGUGUCCGAUUCUAUUUAUAAUUUUUAUGAUAGUGUUUUUACAUUCACUUCAAGGAAAUUUCUAAAUGAUUUUCAAAUCUUCCGUACUGAAUGAAAAUACAUAUCUCUUUAGGCACUGGCAGCAAGUGAACCGUGGCUUAGAGGUUUAAGGCACCUUGGGCGCGAUACCCAGUAAGACGCAGGUUCGAAUCCUGCCGGUUCUGCAAAUUUUAGGGUUCCGUACCUAAAAAGGAAAAACGGAACCCUUAUAGGAUCACUUUGUUGUCUGUCUGUCUGUCAAAAAAAU